UACGGUUACCUUGUUACGACUUCACCCCAGUCGCUGACCUUACCGUGGCCUGCUGCCUCUAAAAGUUAGCACACAGUCUUCGGGUAAAACCAACUCCCAUGGUGUGACGGGCGGUGUGUACAGGGCCCGGGAACGUAUUCACCGUGGCAUGCUGAUCCACGAUUACUAGCGAUUCCAACUUCAUGCUCUCGAGUUGCAGAGAACAAUCCGAACUGAGACGGCUUUUAGAGAUUAGCUCCUCAUCGCUGAGUGGCUGCUCACUGUCACCGCCAUUGUAGCACGUGUGUAGCCCGGCCCGUAAGGGCCAUGAUGAUUUGACGUCAUCCCCACCUUCCUCCGGCUUAUCACCGGCAGUCCCUCUAGAGUGCCCAACUUAAUGCUGGCAACUAAAGGCGAGGGUUGCGCUCGUUGCGGGACUUAACCCAACAUCUCACGACACGAGCUGACGACAACCAUGCAGCACCUGUAUCCAAUCCAGCCGAACUGAAGGAAAGCAUCUCUGCUAUCCGCGAUUGGUAUGUCAAGGGCCGGUAAGGUUCUUCGCGUUGCCUCGAAAUAAACCACAUGCUCCCACGCUUGUGCGGGCCCCCGUCAAUUCCUUUGAAUUUUUAUCUUGCGAACGUAAUCCCCAAGCCGGGGUGCUUAACGCCGUUACCUGCGUCCACCAACAACAUGGUGCCCUGAAAACUAACACCCCUC
rnacentral:rRNA from 1 species